UUAUAGCCCACAGACAAGGAGAUUCCCAGGCGGAGGAGACCCACAGGUCGCCAGUGAGGCUGUUUUGGCUGGCGCCAUUCUUUCAGUGGGUGAGGCAAAGCAGCCCCUUUGUUGGCACUGCUUUGUCAGAGGCCCUGCUGGCAGUUCUCCGUACAAAAUACACUGGUCUGGCGCCUUUUUGGCUGGCGAUUGAAGCCCCAGGAAGCCACACAUUCAUCUGAUUAAAGAGGGGACUGAACAGAGAGCCAGGCCAGGAGAUUCCUGAGCAAAAAACGCACCACAAAUCUCAGCACCGCUUCAUGGGAAAUCACACAGAUCCCGGCAACUUUUCA